rnacentral:tRNA from 1 species
AUUAUUUUGACAGAAAAAUGUGCUAAAUUUAGAAUUUAGAUAUGUGUUUAUAAAACACAAAUAAUA